rnacentral:rRNA from 1 species
UACGAAGGGGGCUAGCGUUGCUCGGAAUCACUGGGCGUAAAGCGCACGUAGGCGGAUUGCUAAGUCAGGGGUGAAAUCCUGGAGCUCAACUCCAGAACUGCCUUUGAUACUGGCGAUCUUGAGUCCGGGAGAGGUGAGUGGAACUGCGAGUGUAGAGGUGAAAUUCGUAGAUAUUGGGAAGAACACCGGUGGCGAAGGCGGCUCUCUGGACCGAGACGUGACGCUGAUGCACGAAAGCUAGGGGAGCAAACAGG